rnacentral:lncRNA from 1 species
AGUGAGACCUUUGGGUGGUGAUGAUGUUGUGAGGGCAAAGCACUCAUGAAUGAGAUUAGUGACCUCAUAAAAGCAGCCCCAGAGAGCUGCCUUGCCUUUCCUGCCAGGUGAGUACACAGUGAGAAGAUGGCCAACUAUAAGCCAGGAAACAGGCCUCCAUCAACAAGGAAUCUGCCGGCAACUUGAUCUUGGACUUCCCAGCCUCCAGGAUUCUUUCACUGAACACAGUUGAGAAUUCAGAAUUUUUCAUUUUCUGCCCACAAUGGCAAAGAGAAGUGACAAAUGGAGACACAGCACAGUUACGUCAGAAGAUGAAUGCAAAGAGACAGAUGACAGCACUCUAGCAUCAGAUUCUGAUGAAAGGAGAAGAAGACAGAAGAAAGAAGAAGAAGAAACUGAUCAUACAGGCUGAAUGUCCCUAAUACAGAAAUCUGAAGUGCUCCCAAAUCUGAAACUUUUUGAGUGCCAAUAAGAUGCCAGAAGCAGGCAAUGGACAUUGUUAACACUGCAGAAGAAGUGCUUAUUGAUGACUGGUGAAAAUGGCUGAUGGGCUUACUGAAGGCCUAGAGUAGUGUGCAUUCUUAACAGAAGAAGGUAUCAAUCAUAUCAAUUUUUAAAAUCAAAGAGAGAUGUCUAAGAUCAAAACCAGUGUUAACGACGCAGAUGACUCUAGAGGAAACAUUUUUAGAAGCCAACCAGCAGAAAGCCUCCUCAUAACUAGAGGACCCACUUCCUGGUCCCUCAACUGCUUCUGAUGUUUCUUCUCUCCUAAAAAAGCUCAGUGUGCACUAACCUUUUAAUCAAAACACAACAUCAUCAGUGUACGGAUGGGUGAAUUUUUAAACAAAAACACAGCAUUAUAGGUGGAGACUAAAAACCUGCCAUUGUUCAUUGGGGCUGUUGUUUAACAGAUGGUACAGGAAGAAAAAUAUGUUGCAAACAUGGAGGAAAGAUGAUGGCCUCCUUCAACAGAACUAUGAGUUGUCCAAGAUUUCACAAAGUUCUUCAAGCAUGGCAUUUGAUGAUGAGCCCUAAGAUGACUUGAGCCUCACGUCAACUCUCUUUGCUACAUUUAGAAAGACUUGGAUUCAACAAGAGCCUCCAUUCUCCCCUUAUUGCAAUCACCAUGUGAAAAGAAGAGCACUUGGAGAAAAAGGCAUUUUACAUUUGCAGAAGCUCCGCUCAUGGGGUCGAAAUGCAUGCUGCCUCUACCACACUAUAACCGACGAGCUUUUAUUUAAAAGUGUCCCUAAACUAGAACUUUCCACAGCUGAAAACUAAUUGAACAUAUUUCUUUCAAAUCCGAACACACCAGUGAAAAAGGCCUUGCUCACGAAAACAAACACCUUAAGGGCCCAGAGCCAAAUGGGCAAGAUGAAAACGUUUUUGCAGGAAAUAUUCACAGGUUGAGUUGUUCACACAGGUCUGCAAGCAGGUGAAAGAGCAAGCCGCAAAAAGAGCUGCAAAACUGGAAAACAGCACAAGGGUGGCCCAAGGUAAGCAAGCACCAAGGCAACCAGGUAUUCUGUGCCAGCUGAGGACCACAGGUGUCUUGCUAAAGAAUUUAGAGAAGAAAAACUACAUGUGUUUAUAGCUUUAUAUUUAAGCUAUAAUAGACAGAGUCUACCUCUACCAGCACACUGCCAGUUUCAGAAGUCAGCGACGUCAGAAAAGGAGUGAAGGUUAGCCCUGAAAGAACAGAAAAGCAGCAAACUUUUCAGAAGUUAAAAUGGGGACACCCCAUACAAAUGGGUAGAAGUAUCCCAGUAUGGCCUGCACUACAAAGAGAAAAAUUAAAACACACCUUUUUCAAAACCUCAAAGAAAACUCCAAGCCUUAUUUGAAACACAGAAGGACAUCAGUACAACAUUACUAACAAAUCUCUAACAGUCAGCAAGAAAUGAAAUAAAAACUAAUUAAAUUCA